GAUGAACGCUGGCGGCGUGCCUAACACAUGCAAGUCGAACGAUGAACCUCACAUGUGGGGGGAUUAGUGGCGAACGGGUGGGUAACACGUGAGUAACCUGCACUUGCCUCUGGGAUAAGCCUGGGAAACCGGGUCUAAUACUGGAAACGACCUUUUGGCGCAUGCCAUGUUGGCGGAAAGCUUUUGUGGUUUUGGGUGGACUCGCGGCCUAUCAGCGUGUUGGUGGGGUAAUGGCCUAGAAAGGCGACGACGGGUAGCCGGCCAGGGAGGAUGACCGGCCUCACAGACGCUGCGGCACGGUCCAGACGCCAGCAGUAGGCAACAGUGGGCAAUAGGGGAAAGUCUGAGCAAGCCUGAUGCAGCGAGGCCGGGUGGGGGAUGGAGGCUUUCGGGCUGUAAUCCGGUAACAGUAGGGAAGAAGCCGGCUUUUGGGUUGGUGACGGUACCUGCAGAAGAAGCGCCGGCUAACUACGUG
rnacentral:rRNA from 1 species